UUAAAGAUUAAAAUAGAGUUUACAAAUUAAAAAAUGUCAACACAAAGUAAACUUUAUACUUUGUGAGCUGAGCAGGUGGCCAGCUUGCCGCCCAGCUGCUCAGCCUGGCACCAAUGGCUUGUCCUGCACCAGUGCUUGGCAUGGGGUCAGGAGGACAGUUUGGGAAGAGUCUCCAGCAGACCGGCGUGCCUGGUCUCACAGAUGACUUCCCAACCCCGUGCCAAUGGGAAACCAACAGAGGCAAGUGGCCAGGGUGGAGAGCCUGGGAGGCAGAGCAGGUGGCCCUGGCACAGCAGGUCUGGCCCUGCUUCUCUUCACUGGCUGAUGUGCAGACAUUUAUUAGUAAAUCUUCACGGCGGUCUAGGGAGUGACAGCAUCCUCUGGAAUAUUUCAACUACAAAAGGCCUUUGACUGAGCGCUGUUCAUCGAGUCCAGCCCCGGCUUUGCAAAUAAACAGCUGACACCAAGAGAGGAGAAGCAACACGGCUGAGGCCACAGGGUGACAAAGCCUUAACAGCAAGAAGGGGAGAAGGCAGUCAUCUGGAAACGAGGAAGACAGCCCUCACCAGAAACUGACACUGUUGGACCUCGAUCUUGGACUUGCAGCCUCUAGAAUUGCAAGAAAAUAAAUUUAAGCUGUGGACUCUGUUA